GCCCAACCUUUACUUUACCAACGGGGAAACAGAUCUGUCCUAAUUCUCCCAAGUCCGAAGACUUUAAGUCCAUUCCAUUCAAUAAAACAAACUUACUAUGCAAACCUGUUUCCAUCUUCAAGGAGCUAAAAGCCCACUAGGAGGGUAUUUAAACACACUAUGGACCAAAUCAUGAGGGAGAGUCAGGCUCGUUCAUUUGUGCAGCCAUUGGUUCACCCAUUCAUUCAAACAUCUGCUGAGAGUCUACUCUGCUCAGCACUUGAGCACAAAGCUACACAGAACCUGGUCCCUGCCCCGAGUCAGAGCACACUGCUGGCCUGGCAGGGAACCCCACUGUCACACACCAGGCUGAACAUGCCGGAACACUGCACGUGUGAUUCCAUGCCCCGCAGAGGCCCUGGGGACUCACUAAGAUGUGAGCGGAAGCAACAGAGUCGAGGGAAAACUCAAGACUGAGAUGGGAUUCGGUGAGAGGAGGGGGUUCUGUGUGAGAGGAGGGCGUUCCGUGAGAGGAGGGGGUUCCGUGAGAGGAGGGGGUUCCGUGAGAGGAGGGGGUUCUGUGAGAGGAGGGGGUUCUGUGUGAGAGGAGGGGGUUCUGUGAGAGGAGGGGGUUCCGUGAGAGGAGGGGGUUCUGUGUGAGAAGAGGGGGUUCUGUGUGAGAGGAGGGGGUUCUGUGUGAGAGGAGGGGGUUCUGUGAGAGGAGGGGACUGUGUGACAGGAGGGGGUUCUCUGAGAGGAGGGGACUGUGUGAGAGGAGGGGGUUCUGUGAGAGGAGGGGGUUCUGUGAGAGGAGGGGGUUCUGUGAGAGAAGGGGACUGUGUGAGAGGAGGGGGUUCCGUGAGAGGAGGGGGUUCUGUGAGAGGAGGGGGUUCCGUGAGAGGAGGGGAUUGUGUGAGGGGGGGGGGUUCUGUGAGAGGAGGGGAUUGUGUGAGAGGAGGGGAUUGUGUGAGAGGAGGGGGUUCUGUGAGAGGAGGGGGUUCCGUGAGAGGAGGGGGUUCCUCCUGGGCUGGGCUUUGCAGGGUAGGAAGAAUCAUGAUGGAAAUACUAGGGCUUUCUAGGCAGAGGGACUGGGUUGAGCCAAAACUGGCAGGAGAGAAGGCAGAAGGGAGUUCCUGCGAGCAGCCAAUAGCCUAGGCUGGCCUGGGAAAGACUGGGAAUCUGGCGGAUGACAUGGAAAGAUGCACAGAUCUUUGUGAAACAAAGCGAUUAUAUAUAGACAGCACAUACAAAGGAUCUUGUGACUGCAAAGCCGUAGACGCAGGGGGGUGGCGCGGGCUGGAGGCAGCUCGGCAUAGGUUGAAAGCUCAUGUGGCACAGCCGAGUGACUUUCCCUUUCUUCCUAGUGCUUUUCUGUAGAUUUGCCUUCAGUCAACAAGUAUCAACUGAGUCCACACACCAGGCACGGUGCCAAACACGUUCAAUUCAUUGUGCCGUUUAAUUCUGACAACUCAGGGGUGGGGGACUGCUG
rnacentral:lncRNA from 1 species